AGCUACUGCCAUACCAUCCUGAACUUGCUCAAUCUCUUCUGAUCUUGGAAGCUAAGCAGGGUUGGGCCUGGUUAGUACUUGGAUGGGAGACACCUGGGAAUACUGGGUGCUGUAGACU
ensembl:rRNA 5S_rRNA 5S ribosomal RNA